rnacentral:rRNA from 1 species
CUCUUCUUGAUUAAUAAUUUGAAGUAUAACCUGCCCACUGAAUAUUUUGAAGGGCCGCGGUAUUUUGACCGUGCAAAGGUAGCAUAAUCAUUAGUCUUUUAAUUGAAGACUUGAAUGAAUGGUUGGACGAGGAAUAGACUGUUUCUUGUAAAUUUAUUUGAAUUUAUAUUUUAAGUUAAAAUGCUUAAAUUUGUUUAUGGGACGAGAAGACCCUAUAGAGUUUAAUAUAUUAUAUAAUUUAUUUUGUUAUAAUUUAUUAUUAAUUAUAUAAUUUAUUUUGUUGGGGUGAUGGGAAGAUUUAAUAAACUCUUUUUAUUUUUUUAUAUUUGUAUAUAAUAUUUUGAUCCAUUUUUGUUGAUUAUAAGACUAAAUUACCUUAGGGAUAACAGCGUAA